GCUUGUCUCAAAGAUUAAGCUUUUCCGUUGAAGCGGGGCAGGUGCAAUGCUAGCGGCUGGCGCAUGUCUGUAGAUAAAGAUACCGUGAACAAAAUCGCACGGCUUUCGCGCAUCGCGAUUAGCGAUGCAGAGGCUGACAAGAUGGUCGGCGAACUCAAUGGCAUUCUUGCCUGGGUGGAGCAAUUGGGGGAGGUCGACGUCACUGGCGUUGAGCCGAUGACGGCCGUCAUCUCCAAUAAGCUGCGCCUGCGUGAUGACGUCGUCACCGAUGGCGAUGUCCGCGACAAGGUGCUUGCCAAUGCGCCAGCUAAGGAAGGCAGCAGG
rnacentral:rRNA from 1 species